CCCACGCAGCGGCUCCUUCCCACCCAGGCUUGCCCCCUUUGUCUCAACCAACCUCCCUGCCUCUCCUUCUCCCCCUCCCCCUCGCCCUCCCCCCUCUUCCCAGCCCCAAGAAGAGCUCUGAGAAGGGGACCCCGCCUGGCUUUUGAGGGGCGGAGGAGUGGGAGCAACAAGGGUGAAGGAACAUCAUGGUGCAGUAGAAAAAUCCUUCUGGAAAAGAGCCCAGGAGAGCCAGGAUCUGAUUCCAGCUCCACUCCUGACAUGUUGGGUUACCUGAGCAAAGAACUUCUCCAUGACUCAGUUUUCCUGAGUUCUGAGGCUGGUGCCUAUACAUCCCAGACUGCAUAUGGCUGGCCCUUCCAAGAUCCCUUGGGCUUGGGCGAAACUUUUAUUUGUCCACUUAUGAUUGUAGGAAAAUAGAGCUGGCCCUAAAUGAAACUGUCAAGAUCUGAAAACUAUGUUUUACAGACCUUUCUGUUCUUUCAUCCCAGAUCCCUUCCUCCCGCUUCCAACAGUCAGUGGGAGGAGAGGGGAAGACCCCCUCUCCCAAAUAUUUCCCUCAUUUUUUCCAUCUAAACAUGAAAUAAUUUGAGUAGUAGAGUCUUGCAGGAGCGAGGUGAGUUUCAGUCAGUUGCCUUUCCCAGGUCAAUUGAACUUUAGGCCUUUAAUCAGUAAUAGUAAUAUGACUGACUGUAUUCCAUAUUCCAAUAAUGAUCUCUAAGAAUAUUUUGAUGGAGAGAUCCUAGGGAGCCCUUUAUCCCUGAAAUUCUUUGUGCCUAUUCAAAAUAUUGCAAAUAAACCUUAUUUUGUGCUUA